AUUGAACGCUGGCGGCAUGCUUUACACAUGCAAGUCGAACGGAUUUUGGAGCUUGCUCCAGAGUUAGUGGCGAACGGGUGAGUAAUAUAUCGGAACGUACCCGGCAAUGGGGGAUAACGUAGCGAAAGUUACGCUAAUACCGCAUAUGCCCUGAGGGGGAAAGCAGGGGACCAGUAAUGGCCUUGCGUUGUCGGAGCGGCCGAUAUCGGAUUAGCUAGUUGGUGAGGUAAAGGCUCACCAAGGCGACGAUCCGUAGCGGGUCUGAGAGGAUGGUCCGCCACCCUGGGGCUGAGACACGGCCCAGAAUCCUACGGGAGGCAGCAGUGGGGAAUUUUGGACAAUGGGCGAAAGCCUGAUCCAGCCAUGCCGCGUGAGUGAAGAAGGCCUUCGGGUUGUAAAGCUCUUUCAGGUGGAAAGAAAAGGUUACGGAUAAUACCUGUAACUGAUGACGGUACCAUCAGAAGAAGCACCGGCUAACUACGUGCCAGCAGCCGCCGUAA
rnacentral:rRNA from 1 species